rnacentral:rRNA from 1 species
UACAGGGGGUGCAACCGUUGCUCGGAAUUAUUGGGCGUAAAGCGCGCGUAGGCGGCCACUUAAGUCGGAUGUGAAAGCCCCUGGCUCAACUGGGGAAGUGCACCCGAAACUGAAUGGCUUGAAUGCAAAAGAGGGUCGCGGAAUUCCCGGUGUAGAGGUGAAAUUCGUAGAUAUCGGGAGGAACACCGGUGGCGAAGGCGGCGACCUGGGUUGACAUUGACGCUGAGGCGCGAAAGCCAGGGGAGCGAACGGG